rnacentral:misc_RNA from 1 species
GCCAUCUUGGAAGUGAUCAUAUUCGAGCUCGGCAAAAUGGGCCGAGAACAGACUCCGACUUCAGAAGAAGCUCUUUCCCGGGCCGCAUCAAGACUGGACGCCGAAAAAGAUGAAAAAUCACAUAGUCGGAGAGGCAGUGCCCUUGGUAGUCGAGCACCAAGUCGUGCUAAAAGUCGUGGUAGUCUCACCGAAAACAAAAAGACAAUCAGCAGACCAAGCAGUCGAACCGGUUCUGGCAAGAGGCCUGAUAGCAAAAUUUCCAGUCGAUCUGAGAAAGAGAAUAUUGAAAGCGACGAUGACACAAGGACGAGAGCUACAUCAGAACAGGACAUACUGAGUGAAAACGGCUGGGACACGGACCUUGAAGUUGAAGGAACCUCUAGGAGAAAAACCAAGGAAUCAUAUGAUGCAUCUGGUAGAACGACGUAUAAAGAAGCAUGUAAGAUGAAUGGUGUUGUUCCUGUCUCAUACUUCCUGAGGCAUAUUGUAGAUUCUGAGCUUACUAUGAAACAUCAUGGUCUUGGUCCUGCUGGAGCUAGAGCUAUAGCCAUAACUCUUGUUGCAAAUACUACUAUUUUAAAAUUGAAUCUUGCUGACAAUUGGUUGGAUUCAGAAGGUGGGCAGGCAGUGGCUGAUAUGCUAAAGGAGAACUGUUAUAUAGCUGAAUUAGAUCUUUCAGACAAUCGUUUGAGUGAUGACGGUGCUAAAGCUAUGGCUGACAUGUUGAAAGAGAAUGUUAAUCUACACAGUGUUACACUGGCUGGUAAUGGUUUUGGUGAUAAGAGUGCUGAAGGCUUUGCUGAAGUUAUAUUGCAAAACAGCAAACUAGAGAACAUGAACCUGAGCCGAAACAGUUUCAGUGAAGCAGCCGGACUGUUGCUGGGACCAGCCAUUUCUGAAAACAUCACCAUCCGACAACUUGAUUUAAGCUGGAACCAUAUACGAAGGAAAGGGGCUGUGGCAUUAGCUAAGGGCAUUGGAAGCAAUAUUGGUUUGCGGAAGGUAGAUUUAUCCUGGAAUGGUCUUGGCAAUGAAGGUGCAUUGGCCAUUGGGGAAGCCUUGAAAAUGAAUAACUCACUUGAAGAACUAGACUUAACGAAUAACAGAAUAUCUCCCGAGGGAGCUGUACUUUUAGCAAAAGGACUUGCAGUAAAUGAGACGUUAAGAGUGUUGAAGGUCGGUAAGAAUCCCAUGCAAACUGCUGGUUGCUAUGGCAUCGUGAAAGCAGUUAAAGAAAACGCAAACACAGCAAUAGAACAACUAGAUUUUUCAGACAUUCAAGUGAACAAGGACUUUGAUGAGCUAUUCAUGCAAUUGAAAGAAGUGCGUCCCGAUAUCAAAGUUAAACAUGGUGGCUCCGAAGAGGAGAAAAAGAAGAAAGCAAAAGUUAAUCCCAUGCAGAAACUGCAGAAAUAUAUACAGAAGAACAACCUGAGACUGGUGGAUUUCUUUAACAAGUUUGACAAGGAUGGCAGUAUGAGCGUGUCAUAUGAAGAAUUUAGGGAAGGCCUUGAGGAAACUGGUAUUGAUAUGUCAGGUGAAGAAGUAGAAAUGUUAAUUGCUGAACUUGACAGGGAUGGAGAUGGUGACAUCAACUACAGACUUAUUACACUGCGGUUGUGAAUUAUACCUGGGCUAUGUCAAGGAAAAGGCUGCUUACAACAACAAGCCUGAUAAGUGAAUUGGUAAUGACAACAUCUGAAUAUACACAGAAGGUCAGGAAAGAAAAGCUACUGCUGGCAGAAGCUAUACAAUCAAUGGAAACGUGAUUUUAGCUAAAAAUAGCUAUAACAUGGAAUACCCCC